rnacentral:rRNA from 1 species
GACGAACGCUGGCGGCGUGCUUAACACAUGCAAGUCGAACGGUGAAGCCUCUUCGGGGGUGGAUCAGUGGCGAACGGGUGAGUAACACGUGAGCAACCUGCCUCUGACUCUGGGAUAACUCCGGGAAACCGGUGCUAAUACUGGAUAUGACUUCUUGCCGCAUGGUGGGGGGUGGAAAGAUUUUUUGGUCAGGGAUGGGCUCGCGGCCUAUCAGCUUGUUGGUGGGGUGAUGGCCUACCAAGGCGACGACGGGUAGCCGGCCUGAGAGGGCGACCGGCCACACUGGGACUGAGACACGGCCCAGACUCCUACGGGAGGCAGCAGUGGGGAAUAUUGCGCAAUGGGCGGAAGCCUGACGCAGCGACGCCGCGUGGGGGAUGAAGGCCUUCGGGUUGUAAACCUCUUUCAGCGCCGAAGAAGCGGAAGUGACGGUAGGCGCAGAAGAAGCACCGGCUAACUACGUGCCAGCCGCCGCGGUAAAAC